AAAUGGCACAGACUGAAUGAUUCACAGCUGAAGUGAUUGCAACUAUAAUUGCUUUGUUUGCUCUCUUGUCUUCAUACACCCUGAGGAAGGCGCAAGCCGACACGUGUUGGUGUCUUUAAUGACUCUUGCUCAUUAAAUAAAGGCUUUUUAAUUUUUCCAAACCGACCUGAGUGCCUGGACUUUGAUUCUUUAUGCCUUCUGGAUUUUUUAACCCUUCCAUGAGCACCGGUGGUUUGAGGGACACCAGCAGCGCUCCUGUUAUCCUUUUCUUCAACCAACUUCUUAUAUUCACACAACACUAAUGGAUGGAAACGAACAUUAAUUUUAGUAAGCCUUGGAUAUGGCCCUGACACAGAGGAAACUCCCCAAGAUGAAACAGCUCCUCCAGAGGAAACACCCCAAAGUGGCCAAAAAGGAUUUGAAGCCGACUGAAUCUUUGUUAACAAACACGGCAGCUGAAAGGUUUCUCUCCUGUGUGGGUUCUCAUGUGAUGAACUAAGGCUUGCUUACAUUCGAUCUCCAAGGGAAGUCAAACAGCGUUCAUCUGCACACACUGUGAUGACACACAGCUGGCUGAAUAUCAGCAAAGUUUCCCUGCUUCCCUUCACUGGUUCCUGUACAGCAGGGUCGGUCUUUGUUUCACUGUUAUAAUCAUUAAAAAG